rnacentral:rRNA from 1 species
CAAUAGCGUAUAUUAAAGUUGUUGCAGUUAAAACGCUCGUAGUUGAACAUCUGCCCUUUUCCGGUUAGGUCCGCUCUGCGUGCACCUUCCGAAAUCGGCAUCCGUCUGCGUUGCUUCGCAUUGCAGACCGUUCACUUUGAGGAAAUUAGAGUGUUCAAAGCAGGCUUACGCCUUGAAUACUUCAGCAUGGAAUGAUUGAUAGGACUUCUAUCCUAUCUUGGUUCUAGGGACAGAAGUAAUGGUAAACAGGGUUGGUUGGGGGCAUUCGUACUGAACAGUCAGAGGUGAAAUUCUUAAAUUUGUUCAAGACGAACAACUGCGAAAGCAUUUGCCAAGGACGACCCCAUUAA